ACAGAUAUAGAUCAUUUCAUGAUGUUUGUCUCAGAACAAAACCGCAGCUCAUCGCAAUGCUACCGAGUGAUAAAGGAUACUCGCACGCAAGUAGUAUAUUAUAUUACUCAUGUAUUAUUACAACGAUUAGAUAAGACAAACUUGUUGAUACGUUCUAUCGCUCAGUUUAAAAAUGUUAUAAAUAUAUCGCUACAUAUAUUUCUGUUAUCAAUACCAUUGAUGCGACGAAUAGCGUAAUAGAUAGGGGAGGCAAGUAUUAAUUUUCCAGUUGACAUCAAACUUCAAUAGGUUACUCGUUCACCCACUCUCGGAUGAAACGCAUUUCAUCUACUGAGCUAUGCAAUAAUUUAUGUUUAUUAUCUACGUACAUAAGCACGUUAUUACAAGAGUGUAAAUUAAGAAGGAAGGAUAAACCCAGAAGAUUCCCAUCCGUCUCGCACAAAAAUUGCUCCUCAUUGAGAGAGAGCUAAACCCCCCGCGUACUGUCCUUGAUAUUCGUUUGCAACGUGCGUCGGAUCCAACAUCCGGUGCAGACGAUUAACGUGCGUAUAUCGCCGCCACGCUAUGGUAUACCAAUCAGUAUAUAAUAGAAGCUACGCUUCACGCACUUCCGCCAAUGCUGGAUUUAGAGCAGUACACCCGAUGUGCCGCGACUGAUAAAGUGGCCGCGACCCCGUGGCGUUCCGCGAUACAUCUUUCCAUUCGAAAGAGUACAGAUUUCACCCGGCGUUCCCAGCGGCACGGAAAAUGCACCGUUUUUCGCUGAUCCACUUCGGACAUUACCAUACAAUCACACUCGGGGACGUUACCCGCCGCGUGUGCGCCAUUUCCGGAGGUAACAAAGAAACACAGCUAUUUCUCAACGCUUUUCACGCUUUUCCGAACGCAAAUAGAUCCGAUCGUUUCAGAUAAUGAAUAAUGCUUGCGUUACACGUAAGUUUUGUUCUAUGAUUCAAUCUGACUUCCGUUCCUUAUUUAUGACCAUAGCGAAGCUCGAUGCAAUGAAACUAUUGAAAUAUGGGAUGUGUAGUUAAAUGAAAUUCGAUGAUAUUAAAUUCUUCUCAUCGAUACAUUUUUGCUUCAUGAUAUAGGCUGUCUCAGAAGUAUUCAUCGAACAGAAACAAAUUUCUUAAGAAUCGGCGAAUCAACAAGCAAGGAGUACCAUGAUUAAGAAUGAAGAUCUUGACCUGACCCGCGGUGAAGCGUAAAGAACCGCAGACAAAACGCGCAAACAUUGUCCCCUUGUGUGGAGUAAAUUGAAAAGAGCCAGAGAGAAAGAAGCUGCAUAAAGGACUUUCGACAAUCCCUUCAUCCAGGCCCUUCCCUGUCCGAGGAAAGAUAAAAGCACAUAGGGGAGAGAGAUCGGAGGGUCCAAAGAGGAGGGUACUGCGGAAAAAAGGACAAUCCAUCGCUGUCGCCGACGCCACCCACGUUUUAUAACCGAUCCAGGGUGCGCACCCUUACGCACUCGCUAAUGCAACGCGCGCUGCAAGAAACCCUUCGCGAGGUCUCCACCCCGUGAAAUCGUUCCGAAACCCUCCAUGAGUCUAAACCAGUGUGAAUUGUGCGUGGCUUUCGUGAAAUCGAUCCCAAUCCUCGCCCUCUCCAAAGUAUCGCCGCGAGGUGUAGUUCGUUAAAUCGGAUUUGGCUAUUAAAAAGGGGUCGUCAAACGUUUCGACGCAUGUUUACACUCUGUUGAAACAAUUAUGGUGUUUUCCUAACGGGAAUGGAUGGCCUUAGGCGCGAACCGAAAGGAACGGAACAAGUAUCGAGAGCGAAUAACGUCGGCACGGUUCACGUGGGCAUAAACCUUGUCAUCUUCGCAGUAUAAUUAUUAUUGGUCACGAGCGUGAACAUGUGCGUUUCAUGUGUUGGUUAGAGGAUCUCUGACUUGGAUAUUUUCAGCAGACAGUGGCUUAAAAUAUACGUUCUCUGCCCGGCGGCGUGAUUUUUCAGAAAAGAAAUUCCACCGUCACAGACGUGAGUCCACUUUGAGAUACUCACCAUGAAUUUAUAGUUCCGCACAAAAUAUUUUCCCUCUGCAAGGAUCAAAUAUUUCAACGAACAAGUUUAACACUUUUGGCCAUGACCUCUUUACACGAUCGAACAAACCAAUGAACGAAGAUUAAAGUAACGCGUCGAACGUCAGUUUCGACGUACACUUACUUAAAAUUAUGCCUGGACCAACUGAUAAAGAACUAGCAAAAUCACGGGGAUGCCCCGACGGAUCUUACCCCCAGAAAUACGCUCCUGUUAAAAUCGAUGUCCUCUACACUUCACUCUGCAUGCUACAAGUUUUUCUCUACCAGGGCAAACAUCGCUUAAAUUAAAGAUCUUAUCAAUCAAAUGCAUUAGUUCUUCAAUCCUGAUACGAUCGUAUCGAUAAUUCUAUUCCCAUCCCACUGUGUACAUAAAUGAUAACGUACCGAUAUACAUUUGAAAAGUCUUUAAAUGUGUGUCGAUUACGAUUCGAUGGCCGCUGUAAACUUUCAUAGGCUUAUGUUUUCUCUUCUAGUUGCUCUAUUCGGAUACAUUGUGAGAUGGUAAAUCCUGCACAGUCGCGUGCAUCGAAACGUCGCUCGUAUCGCCGCGUUCCAGUUCGUGGCUGAUCCAAUUAAAAGGCGAUUUCUUUUUUAAUUGCGAUUGUAGACGGAGAAACUGUACACAUGGGGCCGGCCGGUUCAUCGCUGACCGACCGGACGCACACGGUGGCCGGUUGACUCGGCAAACAUUCGCCUAAGCUAAAUACAAGCACACACACACGCACACAUGUCACCUUUUAAGCCGGACAAACGAGCCUCGAAGGUGCGCAAUAAUAUUCGGCUAUUUAAUACGCGGAUGCAAUCUAAGAGUUAGCGGUAAUUAUGUAACGUUACAUAAUCCGAUGCAUUCUUCUUUAGAACGACGCUGCUUAAAUUCAAAUAACGGAAUUCGCAUUAAACUAAUGUACGACACGCUGUAUCAAGUUUACGAUGAUGUAAUCCUGGAUUUAGCUCGUAGGCCAUUAGUUUAGUAAUUAAACGAAAGUAAUAAAGAA